rnacentral:rRNA from 1 species
AGUGAACGCUGGCGGCAGGCCUAACACAUGCAAGUCGAGCGGCAGCACGGCAAUAGCAAUAUUGUGGGUGGCGAGCGGCGGACGGGUGAGGAAUGCAUCGGGAUCUACCCUGUCGUGGGGGACAACGUAGGGAAACUUACGCUAAUACCGCAUGAUCUGGAGACAGCAAAGCCGGGGACCUUCGGGCCUGGCGCGAUGGGAUGAGCCGAUGUCCGAUUAGCUAGUUGGCGGGGUAAAGGCCCACCAAGGCGACGAUCCGUAGCUGGUCUGAGAGGAUGAUCAGCCACACUGGAACUGAGACACGGUCCAGACUCCUACGGGAGGCAGCAGUGGGGAAUAUUGGACAAUGGGGGCGAACCCUGAUCCAGCCAUGCCGCGUGUGUGAG